AAAAGGGAAAAGGACACCUGGCCGAAGGUGGUUAUAACAAAAGAAUCAGCUCAAUAAUUUAAGGGGAGCAGAAAAAUAAGCAUCUUUGGGCUAAUUAGAAUUGUGAGGGUAAAAUUGUUUUCUCUGUACGGGAUAUCUAUCAUUGGGGCUAGUUUUCAGUCAUUUAUCUUUCUUUUUCUUUUUCUUUACUGUUGCUUUUGAGCAUUGCCAUAGAAGUUGGAUUUCUGUUUUGG
rnacentral:misc_RNA from 1 species